GACGAACGCUGGCGGCGUGCUUAACACAUGCAAGUCGAACGGAAAGGCCCUGCUUUUGUGGGGUGCUCGAGUGGCGAACGGGUGAGUAACACGUGAGUAACCUGCCCUUGACUUUGGGAUAACUUCAGGAAACUGGGGCUAAUACCGGAUAGGAGCUCCUGCUGCAUGGUGGGGGUUGGAAAGUUUCGGCGGUUGGGGAUGGACUCGCGGCUUAUCAGCUUGUUGGUGGGGUAGUGGCUUACCAAGGCUUUGACGGGUAGCCGGCCUGAGAGGGGGACCGGCGACAUUGGGACUGCGAUACGGCCCAGACUCCUACGGGAGGCAGCAGUGGGGAAUAUUGCACAAUGGGCGGAAGCCUGAUGCAGCAACGCCGCGUGCGGGAUGACGGCCUUCGGGUUGUAAACCGCUUUCGCCUGUGACGAAGCGUGAGUGACGGUAAUGGGUAAAGAAGCACCGGCUAACUACGUG
rnacentral:rRNA from 1 species